rnacentral:lncRNA from 1 species
UGAAAUGAAUUUGAAAAUUCCAUUUAUUAAAACAAAUACAUUGUCCAUGUGGGAUGAAAAUGUGCACAUCACAUUCAGGUUUUCCUUCUUUAACAUUUCUGUAUUUUCCUCUCUUUGAAAGACACACUCCAUAGAUCUUAUAUAGGAAAAAUGUGAACCAUUCUUGGGUUGGGAAUAUAUUAAUGUAUAUGUAACAAUUCACCUUUGCCAGGAGCAGCUUAAAGCAAAUAUUAAAAAAAAAUACAAAACUCUAAGACAGCAUGCUUGAUUUCCUCAAUUCCCAUUUGUGAAUAGGAGUAUAUGGAUAAAUUGAUUUAAUUUCUCCUUGGUAAGCAAUCUCUUUCAAAUAUUAUUAUUAAAAUUACCCUCAGAUCAAAGUACUUUUUUGCAACCUCUAAUUAAAAUUAAAUAGUACUUGGUUUAAAACCAAAAAAAAAAAAAAAAAAAAAGAAAUUGGAAUAUUGAGGAUGAUACAAGAUAUUUUUUCCCCUAAAUAUGAGGGUUCUUGUUACUGUUUAAACUAAGUGCAUGGCAGAUUCUCAUUACUAUCCAAUACAUUAUAUGCAGAUAUUAGGGCCUUGAAUAAUUAAGUUUUCCUAUUGGUUAUUCCUUAAGAUAAAGUCAUGCUGGUGGAAAUGAUCGGUGAACUUCUAACAGAAUUAAAGCUCUUUAGAGGUAUAAGUCAUCAAAAGAUUUCUUUUCCCCUUAACAAGUAAAAAUACCAGUAAGCAAAAACGCAUAUAAAGACUCUGGUAGUAUAAUUCCAUACGAUAGGACAUGAAGGUACGACAAAGCCAAAACAUUUUCCUUAAACGUAAUUUCAGAUGGGCUGUGUGUUCUCUGCCUUCUCUCUUCUUUUGUAAACAAGGUCGCAUGCACUUUGGAACUGCCUUAACUUUUCUAAUUACCAGAGCCGUAUUAUGGUGCAUCCUUCAAGUUUUAGUUCCAUCUUAACUGCUCCAAAGAUCUAGAUUCACAUAAAAACAUAAAGAGCCCCUCUAAGAAACAUAAAUGAUGUGGAUUAUGAAAGUCCUUGGGGUCUCACAAUGACACCUUAAUCACCACCAAAAGGUGCUUCAUUUACAGUUGUUUUUGUGUGACUACAUGGCCAAUGCAUGUUUUGACUAAUUUUAAAAAUGUGAUACGGUUUUAGUUGAUUCCACGGUAAUACUAAGCUAAUGGUACAAUAUGGUAUGUGGUUUAAAAACUACUCUGCCAAGGUCUUCCCACUGUAUCUGCAUUAGUGUCUCACUGAUUGUAACAACACCCCAAGGUUUGAACAGCAGUAUCUGGUUACAGAAGUACAUUCAUACCUUUUGCAAAUGUUUCAGCAGUCCCUUUUCCUGGCCCCAGGCGUGAGCUUUAAUUGGAUGUACUUAUUCCUUUACCAUCAUGCCCAUAAAAGGAGCUAAGGAAAAUAUUUACUCUUUCAAAACCUGUCCUUGGCAUAUUAAGCUUUUACAUCUUUUUUCCUUCCUUUCCUUUUUUUUUUUUUUUUUAACAGAAGGAAGAGAAUGGAAAGUGAAUAGAAUGAAUUUGGAAAUGGUUUUCGUGACAUCAAAGUAAACAGUGAGAUGUAAGAGAGGUCCUCUUUUGCCUGGGAAUGGCACAGAAAAAAAGUGAUGCAGGCUUCCAGGACCUUCCAUUACUGAUGAAGGCUAGAGCUGUAAGGAAAAAUCACUUUCAAGAUCAUCUCUUGGGAAAAGAGGGCUCUAGCUGCCAGGAAGUUGUAAAUAAAGACUGAGAGACUCUAACAAACAAGAUGGAAAACAAAACCAGAAAAGGUUCUCCUGAAAAAUCUGCUGAGUGAAAAGCAAAGACCAUCUCAGUGGCAAAAAAGAGCCAGAACUUUUCUGAUGUUGCUGGCUGAGGGGGCUGCACCUGCCCCCUUCUCCCUGGCAGUGAACAGCCAGGAUGCUGAGAAUGGGUCUUCUCUGGAGCCAUCCAGGUUUAUUUCUCCUGGUACUUGAACAAACAGAAAGUGUUCUUGAAUCUAGAAUUUCCACAAUUCAGGGAAAGAUGAAAUUUGCCCUUACUCUAACAAAAGCACCUCCCAACUGAUGCUGAAUCCUUCCCUGUCCUGUUCAGUGGUUCCUGUGCUGUCCUGGAUCCUGGACACAACCAAACUGCUUUGGAUUCUGGAAAAUACGUCGAAGAGGCGUAUACGCCACUGUGAACUCAGAGGUAUUUUAGGCAUGGCUAAGGCGCUGAAGUGAUCUCAGUUUUCAAGAGACUGAGAUUUUUCUUCUCCAGCUUUUCUCCUCUCGCGUUCCUGUUCCAAACUUCAGAGUGAAACAACAAACCUUCUGAAUGGAUGUAACAUAGGGACAUUUUCAUGCAGUAUCACUCAAAAAUUGUCACAAAUAUAUGAAAGCACCAGUCACAACACAUGAUUUACUUUUACUUGCAGAAUCAAAGCUAUCAUGUACAAAUGUUAGGAAUUGUGAUAAGUGAACACAGACAACCGGCGUUUUUUUGUUGUUAUUACCAUGAGGAUAAACCACGGGGAACAUCUCCUUACAUGUUUGGGUUCUCAUCCUUGGAGUUCAGUCUUACGGACAAGUCCAGUCUUAUCUUUGUACUACUCUAAUGGGAAGGGGUGGAAGGAGAGGUACGGGGGAAGGAGAAAAGAAAAAGGCACAAAGACUAAACAUCAAUGCCAUAAAACCAAACUGCGGCUACACUGGACAAUUCAGCUUAUCAAAGGGUAUGCUAAAGGCAAUAUUCAUUCCAAGAAGGUCAUACACAUCUUAGCUCAGUACGGCUGUCUGUUUUGAUUUUUUUUUUU